CCGGCAUCGCCCCUGCUUUGUGUGCCUGGGGAAGUCUGUCCCAUCCUGCAAGUGUCCAAAACCCGCGUGGAGAUGGCGCUUGAGGACAUGCUUUAAUGUUGAGAAUUGAGCUGCUUGAGUGGGAACAGAAAGGGUUGAAACCCCAUUUUCAGGAGGUCAAAAGCCCAAUAUAGAAACAGCUGCUGGUUAGUGGUGUGAAUUCCAGGAAAGGAUGUGGGUAACAGCAGCCAAGGCCAGGCAGAGAGGUGGACAGAACGACCUCAGAUACUGGCACUGACAGCUGCACUCAGGGCGAGGAAGCCAGCAGAAGACAAAGGGAGCGUUUCCAAAUUCCUCUGCACCACCCUGCUCUCGAGAGGUGGGGACUGAAAUUCUUUGAGAAGGAGCACAU
rnacentral:lncRNA from 1 species